UGAGUUAUUAGAAAGAAAAAAAAAUGCAUUUUUUUUCUUUUUUACCUUUUUUUUGAUGCCUAAUUAUAUAAUAAACAAUUUAUUA
rnacentral:ribozyme from 1 species